CAAACCAUUACAAAGAGUAAAGUUGAAAAAAUUAUAGAUAAAUUCUACUUGUGGAUAAAUACUCUGUAUUUCACAUGCACCAGUACCAAAUCUUUUCGCCUUCAGUAACCAGCAUCCAAAUAUCUGACAGUAGCUUUAUCUUAAUCCAGAAGCUUAAUCCAGAGGAUGAGGUCUAAUGCUACCUCAAGUCCACAUUGCCAGUGUUCAGUGUGACUCAGUUGUACCCUCUGUCCAAGCUCAGACGGCAAUGAAACUGGAAUUCAACAGGUUUGAAAGCAGCGGAAGGAAGGAACACCAGGCUGAGUUGAAGGGCAUUGCAUGGGAUGAUGAGCAAGAUAUAUAAAAUAACUAAGAAGUUUGUUACAGCCAGGCUUUGCCUUUAGUCUAACAAUCAGCUUUGCCCACAAAUGUAAAAACAUGUGAAAUACUGAAUCAAGGUGCAGAGGGUGAGCACACAAACAGUCAAAGAAAAGUCUUGCUUUUUUCCUAAAUUUUUUGAUCCUUGGCCUACUUAAAGUUAAUAAGGCACCACUUCACCACAGUUGUCUUCCUGGAACACUGGGAGGCAUCACAGGCUCAUUACAUUUUGGCUGAUCUUCAGUGAGCAAAAUUUCAUCCAGGAUUUCGUCUCCUCCUUGUGGCAGGUUUGCAUCAAGAUGGUGUCUGACCACCUUGCUAGGUGAGUAUGAGCAAUGAGGCUGAGAACUCAGGAACUCUGAGAAAUGUCUGCUGCUUUUGUCAAUAAAUUGCUUCUUGAAGUCCUGCUGAAUUUUUCAGUGACCUCUUGUUCCUCUGGUGCCUGAAAAACUUUCAAGCUUUUAAACUUUUUCUUCAGUAUUUUUUCCCUUCAGCUUUGCUUUGUAGCCUUCUCCUACACUGCCCUCAGUCUUGCUUUUCGAUCUUCUGAUUCUUUUUGUAACUGCAUCUGAUAGGCCUUCCCUCACUUAAACCUUCCAAAGAUCUUUUGAGAGGCUGAAUUUGAAGGAUUGCUAGGCAGAAACACAUCAUUUUCCCAUGAAUACAGUCUUGACCAGCAGUAAAGCUGUAACAGCCCAUAUUUUCCAGCCUGAUUGCAUAUGUAAUUAAAUAUUCAGUCUUACUUUCUGAGAGAAAAUGAUGGUGUUUAAUGAUGAUGACUCUAAAGAAUUCAAAGAGUUAUUUUGAUUGUAAUAUUUUCUAAUUGAUUCCCUUGGGAGGUGGAAAGACAUGAACUAGAUGUUCUAUCACAGCUUCAUCACUAUUUUGAGGUAGAUAAUAUGCAGCUUCAGAUGUACCACAGGUGUUCACUAUAAUUAAUACUUCCUUUUCAUUUUUUCUGCCAUUAAUAUAACUUUCCCACAGCCUAGUUAAGUGCUGUAGCCUGUAUUUAUUCUGUCACUGAUGAGUAAUUAAAAAAAAACCCUACAGCAAACCAAUGUAAUUUGUAUUUUCUAUAGCAUUAGAACAUACUGCUGAAUUCCAAAAUAUCUGUAUUUGUUUAUUAUGCGUUUAAGGCCUUUCCAGGUCCAGGAAUGCUAGGAUUAGCCCAUCUAGUAGGGAACAUUGCAAUUGUACAAGGACUGUUAACUUGGUGUACAUGUUUUUAAAGUUGUUACUUGCUUUCUCUCCAACUUGCCUUUCAGUAAAGCAGCUCUCGGGUUACUACUCAUAUCACUUAUCCAGCCCAAGCUGAAAGUCUGAACAAGCAAAUCACAGACAGGACCUUGCUUUCUUCACUGCACAAAUGACAAAAAGCAUGUUUACAGAAACCAAGCUCGCAUUUAUCUCUGUGAUAAUCUGUCGUAAAGUAAUAAACAUUUCAUCUAAUCUCAUGAUACCAUUCUGCUAGACUAGACAGGUUGUCUCUUCUACGCUUUUGUCUUUAUGGCAUCAGCGUUCAGCCAGGUAGCAAUCCCUUUAGCUUAUUAAAUAUUAACAGAUGUAAAAAAAUAGUUCAGCUUCUUGGGGACUGUCGUGGUUGCGGGGGAAGGUGAAUUUUUCCAGGGGGAUGUAGGCAGGCCAAUCAGUGAUGGGCAAGCCAAUCAGUGAUCAGCUUUUCUGCUGGCACUUGGAUUGGUCACUCGGAGGUUUGGACACGCCUCUGAGGACACAAAGCGUUAAAAGCAGGACUCCGGGGGGGGUCGGUUUCUUUUGGGUUCCGGUUUCAGCAGGGAAACAUCUCCUCUCCCCUGCUCAGCUCUGGCCUGAGUGGGGGAGGGGAGCGACGUGGCUGGGCUCAGGAAAACCACGCAGUGGAACUAAAAAAGAAACUUUUCUUAUACAUUGCUUCUCAUGACUGGUGGUUUCGGAGGAGAAAGGGAAGCGGCCUGGGACCGAGAUGAUAAAGCACAAUUGGAAGGAACCUGACGGGCAAAGAAUGAGAGGAGUAGCUUUCUGAGCUGGACUUUUCUUGCAUAAUGUUAGCCAUGGACUGAACUUAAGUCUCUUUUGAACAUAAACUGCAUUUUGGGUGGAUACAGCUGCCCCUGCUUUUGCUACAGUGACUGGCAUUUGAAGAGUGGAGUGAGCAGAGAAGAGAGGGGGAGGGUGUGGUGGCGCCCUCUGCCCUCAGGGGAGACCUGCUCUCAGAACCUCGGCCCCUGGGGAAAAAGGGGAGAGCUCGAGGGGUGGACCCGUGUUUUCUGAGGAACAGGCUGUGGUGCGAGAGAGACUCCUCUCUCCCUUGCUGAAUUGAAGAUUGGGUUUUUUUGGUUGGUUUUUUUUUGUGGGGUUUUUUUUUUGUUUUUUUUUUUUUUUUGAGUGGUGAUUGUUUGAUUUAAAACCCAAAGGUUUGGUCUAUGGAGAGUAAUGUGUGGGGGGUGGAAACUGAGAGAAGAGAAGAAAUGUUCUGAGAAGUUUUUAUUUCUGUCUCUGUGUGUGUUUAAGAGUUUUCUGCCUCUGUUCUUAUGUAAUGUAAUAAAGUUUUGGGUUUUUUUGUUUUCAA